rnacentral:lncRNA from 1 species
AGGCUGACCUAUAGACAUACCCAUAGCCUGACCCAUUGGCUGACCCAUAGAUCUGACCCACUGCUCUGACCCAUAGAUCUGACCCAUAGAUCUGACCCAUAGGCUGACCCAUAGAUCUGACCCAUAGAUCUGACCCAUAGAUCUCAUCUAUAGCCUGACCCAUAGCCUGACCCAUAAGUCUGACCCAUAGAUCUGACCCAUAGACUGACCCAUAGAUCUCAUCUAUAGCCUGACCCAUAGAUCUGACCCAUAAGUCUGACCCAUAGACUGACCCACGGAUCUGACCCAUAGACCUGACCCAUAGCCUGACCCGACCCAUAGAUCUGACCCAUAGAUCUCAUCUAUAGCCUGACCCAUAGCCUGACCCAUAAGUCUGACCCAUAGCUCUGCCCCAUAGCUCAACCCUAUAGCUCAGCCCCAUAACCCAGCCCCAUAGCCCAGCCCUAUAGUUCAGCCCCAUAGCCCAGCCCUAUAGCUCAGCCCCAUAACCUAGCCCUAUAGCUCUGCCCCAUAGUCCAGCCCUAUAGCUCAGCCCCAUAGCUCAGCCCUAUAGCUGCUCAGCCCCAUAGCCCAGCCCUAUAGCCCAGCCCUAUAGCUCAGCCCCAUAACCUAGCCCUAUAGCUCUGCCCCAUAGCCCAGCCCUAUAGCCCAGCCCUAUAGCUCAGCCCCACAGCCCGGCCCCACUUACCCAGUCCGUGACCCCCAAUGGAGACUGUAAAGAGAGGGGGAAGGGGGGGGAAAGCGGUGAGUGGGGCGCGGUGUGGGGCAGAGGCGGGGGGCGGUGAGGAGCAGAGGUGGGGGGGGAGCUGGGGGGUGGAGGGGGGGGAGCUGUGGGGCAGAGGUGAGGAGUGUGGGGCGGAGGGGGGCGGAGGGGGGGAAUGGGGUGAUGGGGGGCAGGGGAAGGUGUGAGGCUCUGGGGUGUUAUGGGGCAGCGCUAUGGGGCAGCGCUAUGGGGCAGCGCUAUGGGGCAGUGCAGCAGGGAGUUAUGGGGUGGCGCUAUGGGGCAGCGCAGGGAUGUGGUGGGGCAGCGCUGUGGGGCAGCACAACAAGUUAUGGGGCGGCGCUAUGGGGCAGCGCAGGGAUGCAGUGGGGCAGCGCUAUGGGGCGCUAUGGGGCAGUGCAACAGGGAGUUAUGGGGUGGUGCUAUGGGGCAGCGCUAUGGGGCAGCACAAUGGGGCAGCACACAGAUGCUAUGGGGCAGCGCAAUGAGGCACUGUGGGGCAGCAAAGGAAUCUAUGGGGCAGCAGCACAGUGCUCUAUGGGGCAGCACACAGAUCUAUGGGGCAGCAGCACACAGACCUAUGGGGCAGCACAUCGAUCUGUGGGGCAGCACAGCACAACAUGCAGAUCUAUGGGGCAGCACAGCACACAGAUCUAUGGGGCAGCACACGGAUCUAUGGGGCAGUACAUCACUCUAUGGGGCAGCAGCACACAGAUCUAUGGGGCAGCAGCACAGCGCUCUAUGGGGCAGCACAGCACAGCACAGCGCUCUAUGGGGCAGCAUAACAUACAGAUCUAUGGGGCAGCACACGGAUCCAUGGGGCAGCACAGCACACACAUCUAUGGGGCAGCAGCACACACAUCUAUGGGGCAGCACAGCACACACAUCUAUGGGGCAGCACAGCACACACAUCUAUGGGGCAGCAGCACACACAUCUAUGGUGCAGCACAACACACACAUCUAUGGGGCAGCACAGCACACACAUCUAUGGGGCAGCAGCACACACACAUCUAUGGGGCAGCACAGCGCUCUAUGGGGCAGCAGCACACUGAUCUAUGGGGCAGCACACGG